AUUGCACGCUGGCGGCAGGCCUAACACAUGCAAGUCGAACGAGUGGCGGACGGGUGAGUAAUGUGUGGGAAACUGCCCGAUGGAGGGGGAUAACUACUGGAAACGGUAGCUAAUACCGCAUACAAUCGGAUGUGGCCAGAUCGGAUUCUCUUGUAGGUGAGGUAAAUUCUCACCUAGGCGACGAUCCCUAGCUUGUCUGAGAGGAUGACCAGUCACACUGGCACGGAGACCCGGUCCAUACUCCUACGGGAGGCAGCAGUGGGGAAUAUUGCACAAUGGGCGCAAGCCUGACGCAGCCAUGCCUCGUGUAUGAAGAAGGCCUUCGGGUUGUAAAGUACUUUCAGCGGGGAGGCGUUACCCGCAGAAGAAGCACCGGCUAACUCCGUGCCAGCAGCCGCGGUAAUUC
rnacentral:rRNA from 1 species